rnacentral:rRNA from 1 species
GCUUGUCUCAAAGAUUAAGCCAUGCAUGUCUAAGUGUAAAUACGUCUACACUGUGAAACUGCGAAUGGCUCAUUAAAUCAGUUAUCGUUUAUUUGAUGAUCUCUUGUUACAUGGAUAACCGUAGUAAUUCUAGAGCUAAUACAUGCGUCAAGCCCCGACUCACGAAGGGGUGUAUUUAUUAGAUCCAACCAGCCCGGUUCGCCGGAGUCCCUGGUGAGUCAUAAUAACUGAGCGAAUCGCAUGGCCUUGUGCCGGCGAUGGUUCAUUCAAGUUUCUGCCCUAUCAGCUUUCGAUGGUAGGGUAUUGGCCUACCAUGGCGUUAACGGGUAACGGAGAAUUAGGGUUCGAUUCCGGAGAGGGAGCCUGAGAAACGGCUACCACAUCCAAGGAAGGCA